CCUCCUUUCUAAGGACGCCGGAGAUGCUUUAUGCUUAUCUCCGGAUAGUCAAAGUCGAAACAGACUCUCUUCUCUUCUCUCCCUUUUCUCCUGUAAAUGCUAAGUUAUGAAUUUAGAGCAACGAAGGAAUUAAAUUCGUUACUGUGGACUCCUAAUUACAAGAGGGGCCUGUAGCUCAGCUUGGUUAGAGCGCAUCCCUGAUAAGGAUGAGGCCGGUGGUUCAAGUCCACCCAGGCCCACCAGUUUCAGUGGGGGAUUAGCUCAGCUGGUAGAGCGCCUGCUUUGCAAGCAGGAGGUCAGCGGUUCGACCCCGCUAUCCUCCACCAAAUUAAUGAACAGUAAAAAAAGGUGGUGCAGCUUAAGCAGAAGAUAAGCUUCAGCAAUUAUUUAAUAAUUUCUGAAUUUUAUUUUUUAAUAUCUUAGACAAUUGAAUCGGAGGUUUUGGAGACACAAGAUCAAAUGUGAGGGUCUCC
rnacentral:misc_RNA from 1 species